CAUAGGUUUGGUCUUGGCCUUUUCAUUAGCUUUUAGCUAACUUAUACAUGCAAACAUCCCCACCCCAGUGAGAAUGCCCUCUUUAUCUAUUAAUUGAUCAAAAGGUGCAGGCAUCAAAUUCAUCAUCCUAGUAGCUCAUAAUACCUUGCUCCAUCACAUCCCCAUGGGAUACAGCAGUAAUUAAAAUUAAGCCUAUAAACGAAAUUUUGACCAAGUUAAGUUAAAUAAGGGUUGGUAAAUUUCAUGCCAGCCACUGCAGUCAUACAAUUAACCCUAGUUAAUGAAACACAGCAUAAAGCAUGAUUAAGAGACUAGCUAAAUAAGAUUAAAGUAUUAUUAAACCAUAAAAAGUCUUGGUAAUAAUGAAAGUCAAACACAAAAGUAAUCUUAAAUUAUCUGAAUUCAUGAUAGCUAAGACCCAAACUGGGAUUAGAUACCCCACUAUGCUUAUCCCUAAACAUAAAUAUUCAAUAAAAAAAUGUUUGCCAGAGUACUACUAGCAAUGGCCUAAAACUCAAAGGACUUGGCAGUGCUUUACAUCCCUCUAAAGGAGCCUGUUCUAUAAUCGAUAAACCCUGAUACACCUCACCACCUUUAGCAAUUAUCAGCCUAUAUACCACCAUCUUCAGCAAGCCCUACUAAGGUCUUACAGUAAGCAGGAAAAUUCUACACUAAUACGUUAGGUCAAGGUGUAAGCUUAA
rnacentral:lncRNA from 1 species